GUCCACGCCCUAAACGAUGUCGACUAGGUGUUGGGGAAGGAGACUUCCUUAGUACCGCAGCUAACGCGUGAAGUCGACCGCCUGGGGAGUACGGUAGCAAGAUUAAAACUCAAAGGAAUUGACGGGGACCCGCACAAGCGGUGGAUGAUGUGGAUUAAUUCGAUGCAACGCGAAAACCUUACCUACCCUUGACAUGUACCGAAGCCCGAUGAGAGUUGGGUGUGCCCGAAAGGGAGCGGUAACACAGGUGCUGCAUGGCUGUCGU
rnacentral:rRNA from 1 species